GAAGAAAGUGAAGAAGCAGGAAUAUUUGGAAAGUAAAAAGGCUUGGAAAAGCAGCAGAAUAUUUUAACUGCAAACUUUUUAACUAAAACCAUGUGUCACCAAUAAUGUAUAAAAUAUGUGGAAGAUGUUGAAGUGUGUUUGGAGUUUCCAUCAGACAGUAUAGGCUGAGACAGUCUAUUAAACUCCAGUCUGUUUGUCGGGUUUUUUGUCUGUGCUGAGCACCUAAUCAUAACACCUGUGUGCCCAGAGAUCAAAGGUUUCCAUGGAGAUGUGCAGUGAUCUUUCCAUUAAUCUGAAUGAGAGAUAAACCUCUUACAUUUCUAACUUUUGUUGAAUAACCAUAGCAGCUAUCGGUAAAAUGUCAAUGCGUGCAGCAUGUCAGUACCGCGAGGAGCGUCUCAGUGUGCUUUUUGUGUACUUUUGGGUGAAUAAUGUGGCUUUAUUGGCAGAUUAACUAAAGGUGUGCGGCUGUGAUGAAAGAUGAGGCUGAAUUUACAAUGAUGGAGACAUGUUGAAAGCCUUUGUCACUUCAUGCCCUCAAGAGGCAUUUUGUUUCAUUUUUUUGCUUAAUUUUCUUCUUUUUUUCAACGUAAGAGAGGGUUUCCUAUGUUUUUUGAAGUUGAAGAAUAAAGAUUUGAAGAACAAUAGUGGAAUACUGUUGCACAGCAAGAGGGGGAGGAGGAGGAGGAGGAGGAGUUUAAAGAAGAAUAAGCAAUGGCAUUUAAGGUACAAUUACAAGUGUUAUGAUAUUAGGGCCAUACAGAGUCAGAUCGCUUUCCCUUUAAGGGAGAGAGAUGGGUGUGGCGCGUGCAUUUGUGUGUGUGCAUGGUAGAGCGAGCGAGUGAGGUGGUAUGUGUUUUGAAGCGAACGAAGCAGCAGCAAAAUAGGUCUGUUGAGUGUCUUCAAAGUUAGAUCUGUAACAAAGACCUCAAUAAAUGCAACGGCCUGCCAAAGAAGAGCUCGCCUGUCUGCCUUAUUGAAAUGUGGGUUAUUUAACCCAAAGUUUGUUGCUUCGGCCCUGGAAGACUGCAGAGCGUCAUCCCCUGUUUUCCUCGACUAUGGUCUGGGAGCCGACAGGAAAGUUUAACACAAGAAUCCUUAUUAACUAAAAUAGCAGCAUCAUCUCAAACAACAAACACAGUCUCUUAGAGCAGCUGACAACGGCUGCAGGGAGGCACCUUUCGAGUAAUGGUGCACCGUCCAACACUAGAGCUGACAUCCUCCAACAACCCAUAAUGAAAGAGCUUGAGAGAAGUGAACGUGAGGACAAAGAAAAACCUAAAACUUGAUGUUUGCCCUAUUUACUGCUAUCGGCACAUCGGCAAAUGAGGUGACAUUCACAGAUGGCAGCCGCUGAUGCUUUUGUUAUUUUUGUUCACGUUCCGUCAUAACAUCUGCGGCACCGGUAGAUCGUUUAUAUUAAAAAAAAACAUUAACUAAAGAAAACAAAAAACAACAUGUCGGCACUGUGGGACUAUUUCAGUUUCACUCAGAGAUCCACGAUUUGCGGUUUGCAAAAAGUGUUCCUCUCCCCCUCUCCUGACAGCCCAUCCGUAUCCGUCUCAUGCAGCUCGCUGAUCCACUAAUGAGUGAUCCGACAGUAAAGAAUAAAUAUAUUUAUAACUAGUUUAGGUAGAUUCAGAGGUAGAUAAAAUAGCUAAGUGUGAUAGGUCUAACUCUAAAGGUGUGUUUUGCUCCGCUCACCGGUCCCCUCACAGCGGGCAGAGCUGCAGGUGAUCCGCUGCGUACUUUCUAAACAGCGUACUAUGUUAUAAUAACGAACUUGCUCAGCCUUUGAAACUGAAACCAUUUUGCGCGAAAAAAUUAUUCAAAAAACAUAAAACAUUGGCAUCGGCCAAAUAGUUUUAAUUAACAUCGGCAUCGGCCAAGAAAUGUAGCAUUGAUGCAUCCCUAAAUACAAUAUAACAGUAAUGUAACCUGAUAACUACCCAUUGCUUUUUGAUUUAUUUAAUAUCAAUCCAAUGCAAGAAAAUACAAGACAAAAUACAUAUCAAUAAGAUAAUUAUUUGUAUAACAACAGAACAAUGAAAACCAAGAUAAAUAUCUUGGUUUCUCGUUUCAUGUUACUUCUUUCAAUGUGCACAUGUGCUUCAUAAUAAAUUGUUCGUUAAAAUAUGAUACAUUCUUAUCCUGCUAGUUAUUAAUGCAUUUUUUGUAUAAAUGGAACAGUAAUCUGAUAAUGUAUUUUUUUUAACUGUAUUGGACAUUUUUAUUUUUGUAUCCUGAUGAUUAUAUUUAAACCAGAAUACUGCACAGUGCCCACGCCUGAGUAUAAUCUUUCUGUCCCUCAGCUCCAAUUCUCUUUAGAACCUGACCCAGUAGCCGUGAACUGCACCGCCUUUAACCACAACGGGAACCUGCUGGUGACCGGAGCCGCUGACGGAGUCAUCCGCCUGUUUGGUCAGUCGGACUCAAUUGUCUGACUAUCAUUAAAAACCAUGAUCAUUUCUUAUUUUUUACACUUUUUACAACCAUUUCAAAAGUUUAAAUCAGUCCUGUGUGUUAUAUCUUUGUGAAGCAGGUCAGUACUUUACACAGCACAGUUGGCCUCUGGGGAGAGCUGGACAGUUGAAAUUAUUUCCUGUUUGACCACUAUUACUAGCUGUUUUUACUGCAAGGCCCUGCACCCUCCCUCGUGGUGAUCAAGGAGCAAUUGAUAUAUGCAGCGGUAUGAGAGUGCGAUGAGCUGGAGAGCUCACGACGGAGAAGUGUACAGUGUGGAGUUCAGCUACGAUGAAAAUAGUCUUCAGCAUCGGAGAAGAUGGCAAGUUCAUCCAGUGGAACAUCCACCGAUGUGGGGUAAAGCAGUCGGAGCAGGCGUUAGCUCAGGAUGCCACGGGGCCCUUCAUCCUGUCAGGUUACAGCGGAUACAAACAGAUUUCCACUGAGGCAGAGACUCUGCAUGAAGAUGCUGCCAUGACAUCUGAGUCCCACUAUGAUGACAUUACACAGAGUCUCUUGAAAAUGCUGUGGAGAGGAAUCCCAGGAGGAUGCAAAAACAGAAGUGGUCUCCAAAAGAGGUGGCAGCAGUUUUGAGACACUUUAAUGCACACCAAGGGGAAAGUGGCCACGAUGAUAGAAUGCAGACAGUGCAAAGCUGCAGAGCAUCCUAUUCUGGCUGGUCGCUCUUUGCAAAAUAUUAGAGACUUCGUCAGGAGCCAAGGCACGACUCGGAAGAAAAAAGCACUGCUACAAAAAAGAUGAUGGCAUUUAAUGGAACAUGCAGUGAGGACAGUUCACAGUUCAACUUCAUUAUUAUGUUACA